rnacentral:rRNA from 1 species
CUGUACAGUUCAGAGUUUGAUCCUGGCUCAGGACGACGCUGGCGGCGUGCCUAACACAUGCAAGUCGAACGGAGUUAAGACUUCGGUUUUAACUUAGUGGCGAACGGGUGAGUAACGCGUGAGAAACCUGCCUUUCAGUGGGGGACAACAGUCGGAAACGACUGCUAAUACCGCAUAAUGUCAUUUGGGGGCAUCCCUGAAUGACCAAAGAUUUAUUGCUGAAAGAUGGUCUCGCGUCUGAUUAGCUAGAUGGCGGGGUAACGGCCCACCAUGGCGACGAUCAGUAGCCGGUCUGAGAGGAUGAACGGCCACAUUGGGACUGAGAUACGGCCCAG